AUCUUGAAAACGGAAAAUAAAAACAGCAGACCUAUGAAGGUCGAAGGGGAAGAAAAGCUGUAUCGAUUGUUGAGAUCUGGCGACUUGUUUAAAUUUCAUCAGCCUCACUUCUAUGAACUCUCAGAGCUGAUUACCAACUCCUACCACUGUUAACCCUCAUCCAGGAACAAGCUUAUGUCUUUAACAUUCUGAGUGGGCUUCAGCAUCCUUGCAUAUGUUCAAUUCUUAAAAACCUGUUGAAAUAAAAGAUCAGGAGACAUAGGAAGGAUGCCAGAAGAGAGCGUGGCCUCACGUGUACCAGCUCUCUGCUCUCCUUUGCCUUGGGACGUUCCAUCCCUGGAAGUUUCCCUGCCCACAUCUUUGUAGAGAGUCCAUUCUCCAAGCUUCAGUGUGUCAUCUGUGAGGACCGUGACCCACCUGGUACAUCGCCUCAGGGCAUUCAUUUCAGGCUCCUUCUAAAUGGCCAAGGAUCUUGGAAGCAGAGGGAUCUGCAGAAGUGCUUGCAACACUUUCAGCCUUAACCAGCAUCAGAGACAAAAAUCCUUUCUGGAAUGAGGUAAACCUCAGGUUCUCCUCCUGCCUUUUGCUAAGUAUAUGUCUUGAUGACAAGCCUUCUGCUGAUGAGCUGUGUUUCUGGACCGAUCAUGGUAGAAGUCAAUUAACGUGUCCCUCACUUGGGGUUUCUCAAGGCUGCACUGAUGAGGAAACUGAAACAGAAAAUCCAGAGUAAAUUCCACCAGGCCACACAGCAAGGUCUGAUAGAGCCAGGAGAGACUUUAUGAAAUCCAGACUCUCACACUAAUGCUCUAUCAGCUAGACCUCCAUGUGAGUCUCCCCAAUGUAGGUAGGAAGUGCUUUCCCUAAAAUGCUCAUAAAGCAAAUCAGAGCAAUGCUGCAUUCCAUGUGAUUUCUAAUUUGAAAUGCAAACAAUUGCCAAUUUGUUUGACUUGUAUUUAUAAUUAUUUCCUUGUGAAUUACUCAUCACUAAAUGCUUUAUAAAUAUUUUCUCUUUUUUUCCUCAAUGUCUAUGGAAUGAUCACAGCAUAGAAAAUGUUGGCUUUCAAGGAUUUAUUAAUAUCUCCUUUUGAAAUAACAUGUAUUUGUAAGACAGAAUAAAAUCACUUUAAAGAAACAAA
rnacentral:lncRNA from 1 species